rnacentral:lncRNA from 1 species
AGUGUUGAAGAAUUAAAGGAGAUUGAUGUGGAAGUGAGGAAAGAAAUCGAGGAUGCUGCCCAAUUUGCCACGGCUGAUCCGGAGCCGCCACUGGAGGAGCUAGGCUAUCAUAUCUACAGCAGCGACCCUCCCUUCGAAGUGCGUGGUGCCAACCAGUGGAUCAAGUUUAAGUCAGUCAUUUAAUGGGAGAGUAUUAGAUGGAUGGGCGUUUCUCAUCCGUUGUAAGAAACUCUUUGUGCUCUCAACUUUGACAGGAAAUACCCAGACAACAAAAGUCUUGAAAACAUGUAAAUUAAGGGAGAGUAAAAUUGCAUGCAGUUUGUACAUUGUUGUAUUCGGUGUAUUCAUGUGAAUAAGAGUGUAUAGGAUUGGAGAUGGGUAAUGCAGUUUAUAACCUUCAUCAUGUCCUAGGUCAGUUACUAAAAGGAACAACUCUGCCAUUUGGUGAUGUGAUCAUAGCUUUGAAUGACCUUGUGGAGGCAUGCUGGGAUUAAUGCAAAGCACAGGUUAGAAGUGUAUGGUCACCAUGAAUUGUGGAGGCUGGACUCUGUUUGGCACUGACCGUUAUGUCUUUGAUCAAAGGCUAUAUAUAAUCAUGUGUUUUAAAAUAAGGGUACUUCAGUCACUUCAAAGGUAAAAUAAUUUAAUUUUCUCCAUUUAGACAUUUAACAAACACAAAAUUGUACUCCC